rnacentral:SRP_RNA from 1 species
GCCAGGCAUGGUGGCUUAUGCCUGUAAUCCCAGCACUUUGGGAGGCUGAGGCAGGUGGAUCACUUGAGGUCAGGAGUUCGAGAGCAGCCUGACCAACAUGGUGAAACCCUGUCUCUA